GUGCUCGCUUCAGCAGCACAUAUUCUAAAAUUAGAAUGAUAUAGAGAAGAUUAGCAUGGCCUCUGUGCAAGGAUGAUAUGCAAAUUUGUGAAGCAUUCCAUAUUUUU
rnacentral:snRNA from 1 species